rnacentral:tRNA from 1 species
CGCGGCCGGCGGGGUGCGGUAGGCCUGCUGCGGCUGCUGGCCGUAGCCGGGGGGCUGGCCGUAGCCACCCGGCUGGCCCGGGUCCUGCGGGUCGUGG